UCGCACCUACCGAUUGAAUGGUCCGGUGAGGCCUCGGGAUUGUGACCUGUGCCUUUAUUGGUGUUGGUCGCGAGAACUUGUCUGAACCUUAUCAUUUAGAGGAAGGUG
rnacentral:rRNA from 1 species